rnacentral:rRNA from 1 species
CGAAGGGGCUAGCGUUGUUCGGAAUUACUGGGGCGUAAAAGCGCACGUAGGCGGAUACUUAAGUUAGGGGUGAAAUCCCGAGGCUCAACCUCGGAACUGCCUCCGAUACUGGGUAUCUCGAGUUCGAGAGAGGUGAGUGGAAUUCCGAGUGUAGAGGUGAAAUUCGUAGAUAUUCGGAGGAACACCAGUGGCGAAGGCGGCUCACUGGCUCGAUACUGACGCUGAGGUGCGAAAGCGUGGGAGCAAACAGGAUU